AUACUUACCUGGCAGGGGAGAUACCAUGAUCACGAAGGUGGUUUUCCCAGGGUGAGGCUCAUCCAUUGCACUCCGGGUGUGCUGACCCCUGCGAUUUCCCCAAAUGCGGGAAACUCGACUGCAUAAUUUGUGGUAGUGGGGGACUGCGUUCGCGCUCUCCCCUG
rnacentral:snRNA from 1 species